AAGCAAGUGAGGCUAACUAAGCCCGACGGGUUCGAGGUGCCAUAUCCACCUUUCACUUCCAUCCCAUUUUCGGCCCAUGUGUGACUCAACGCGCCGGGACGGAUCAGCCUGUCCAUGAAACGGCUCCUUCGGUCGCCCCCCACGGGCCUCAACUGCCCAUAGGUCUUCCUGGGUGGGGGCGAUCCCGUGGCCAUGGGCGAGCAAGCAAACCAGCUGCUCAGCUCGUCUCAACUGCAACCUCCCUCGAAAAAAAAUGAAAAAUUACCCAUCAUUUUUUAUGUGGACCUUACAAGUUAUGCACGGGCUGCGGACAUCUCAGCACUCGGAGAACAUGGUAUUCUGGCAGUUACUUUCUCCAACAUUGCUGACUUUUUCCAUAAACUGGGCCUAUUUAGUCUUGGUGACUUCUCAAGAUCUCUUGAAUAUAGACUGACAAAGUUCUUGCAAAAUGAAGGAAACUCACAGCCCCCAGGUGCAAUUUUGCCAUGCCAGACAACUUGCAAAGACACAUCCAAAAGUAGACCAGUCGUCCUUUAUAUACACUUUGGAAAGAAAGUCGCACUUGCACAAGAAGCCCCGCCUCCUAAAAGAAAGAAUUCUCUGAAGAAGUUCGUCGCAACCCUAUUUCACACUACCUGGCAUCAUUUUCUGGAUCUUCUACAUACACCGUUUCUGUUCCAAGAAAAAGAGUUUGCUAGGCUUCUGUACAUGCUAAGAAGAGGACAGAUUAAAGACGUAAAACUUCAGCUUUGGCAAGACGUUCCUUUAACUCAUAAACAAAGAGAAAUCCUUUUGUCUUUAGCAAUCACUGGGGGCUACACAAAUUGUGUCGAGUUUCUCCUGCAGAAGAAAAUCUAUGUCUCAGAUACCCAUUUCAAACUGGCUGCAAGAUACGGGCGAGUUCACACAGCAAGGUUGUUACUGAAGAAGAAAUGGAACGUUAAUGUACUUCGACUUGAAGCCGAGUACUAUGGAAAUAUUGCCAUUGUGCAACUGGUCACUAAACUCCCUUCCAAAAGUAGUUUCCAAGACAAAUGGAACAAAAUUGAAGCCAACUACAAUGAAGAAUGGCGGAGAGUCACCAGUGAUAUCUUGAAGAUUAAAGAUGUCCAGCCUUUGCGCGAAUUCAUCGUAAACAACAUAAACUUCAUCCACUACCAGGACCACAAAGGAUUUACACCUCUCCACGUGGCGGCUGAACAAGGUCACGAGCUCUGUGUGAGGGAGCUCCUGGAACACGGCGCCUUGCCCAAUGCACGCACUACUGACCUCAAGACCCCAGCUGACCUCGCAAACUCCCGGGGCCACUGGAGAAUAGCAAAGAUCAUAGAGAGAAAGAUCCAAGUCAAGGACAGUGGAAAGCAGAGUCGUAAAGACGUGUCCAAACGAUACUUCCGUCUUCUGGAGGCAAUUUCCAAGGGCGGGAAAAUCUUUGCAAAUGAUAUAGAAGACAAGGCAGCAAAAGUCGAGCUGGUGAAGACUGUGACAUCACUGCUUGCAACCGGAACUCCUCUCGAAUUUAGUGGACCCUUUACCAACAGUGCUCUCCUGCUCGCCAUUUCCACCAACAGAACACCGCUUCUUCCCCUGCUCUUGGCUGCAGGGGCUCCUCUCACUGCUACCACCUCCGGUCUCGGACCCCUCCAGCUGGCAUUGAUCACUCCAGGGGUAACACCUUGGGUCGGUGUGGUGGUGGCAAGGGCUAUCCGGCAUAAACUCAAAGUUGAAAUGGACUUUGCUCCUGAAAAUUCCAUGGACCAGAUGUUAAAGUCAGGCAUAAGUAAUCUGUUACAACAUCUGGAAGGAAAGGAACCCUGGAAAGCAAAGUUCAAUAGUACAAAGAACAACCCUGAACAUCUUACCCAGUUGCUGGUUACAGCCUGCAAGCGGGGAGCCACUACUUCUGCCUGGUGGGUGUGGCAAGCAGGUGGCAACCCUGUCUCGUCCGUCGCCUCCACCUCAGCCCUCCAUGCAGCACUUAACCCUGAGCGGCCUCACUUGGAUACGGCGAGGACGCUUAUCCUCCACAUGGGGUGCAAUCCUUUCCUGCCAGGUGAAGAUGGUUCACUCCUCUUCAACAACAUGCCGUUGGAGUUUCGGAAGCAACUACUGCAGGAUUCCCUUGCAAGAGAGUACCGGUGCCUGUACAUGGAGAUGGCAAGGGCACGACGCCACAGAAACAGAAAAAAAAUCAUAGAUCUCCAGCGCCUUGCAGUUCUGCAGAUUCUCCUUUACAUUCAGUACGAAAUGCACAGCGAAGAAGCAUCUUACCCUUUCCUGCAAGACCUGUUGACAUGUAGCGAGUUGGAACUAACAGGGAAUCAAGAGGAAGAAUUACAUGAUUUAAAUGAAGAAUGGAUCACUAGUCUUAUCAGGAAACUAGAUGCUGAUUGUGAAGGGAAGACUACACUCGGCAAGGAUGAAGAGGAUGAAUUCUAUGAAUUAUCUGAAUGCAUCAGGUUAUUCUCCAGAAGAAAACGCAAAGGCAGUGAAUAUAACAUCAAACAUAAACAUGACUGCCUCGACCUUCUCUAUAAAAAAGCAUUGAUGAUGUGUAGUAAAGAAAAUCUUACUGCAUUCCUUUAUUUGCUAGUCAGUGUGGCAGGGGUCCAUGUAAACGGGGAAGUGGAUCCUAUAUGUGGCACGCAAGCUCUUCACCAUGCGGCCAUGCAUGGUAACCUGUCCAUAGCAAUGUCACUGGUCUGCUUUGGAUGUUCUAAAGAAGCAAGAGAUCAUGGCAGAAACACGCCUUCGCACUAUGCCUACAUGGCUGGCCAUAAGGAAGUUGCACAGUUUCUCGCAGAUGGCAUUGAAAAUGAGGUAAAUAACCGUAAGUUACGGCCACGUGACAUGCUUAAGCGUUACAACACCUAUCUUGACCAGCAAAGUCUCACUCUUGUAAGUAGUAUAAAAGAGGAACAAGAAAUAUUUAAUGACAGUAAAACACUGAUUGAACUUCAUCUUCACCAUCUUAGAGAGACAUGGGAAGCCAAAGGGGGUCUCAUCAAAACAGUUAUGGAUACUCAUGUGGACUUUACAAAGAACGAGUCUUUAGAAGUCAAACAAGCCAUCACAAAAGUAGCCGAAGACCUAAUUUCUGAAAUUGCCAAAGUCAAUAAGCUCUUUGAGGGAGACCUUGUCGGUGUAGGAAGUGCUGCAGAUGAUACUAGAAUAUUCUGCCCUGACGAAUAUGACUUCAAUCUUGUUUUAAGAAACAUAAGUGGUCACCCGGGAGGAGGGCUUAAAUUUGAGCUUCAGAAAUCCCCAGAAACGGAACUAGUUCAGAAACACAUAGAAUUAUCAGCUGAAAGUAGUGAACUCGAAAAUCUUAUGGAUGGAUCUAAUUUCACUGAUACAUUUUAUAACAUAGCAAAAGAUUGCUUGAAAAACUUGAGGAUUGGAGAUGAAAGGCUCAUCUUCAUCUCUCCUGGGAUCAAGAACACUCAGGUAGGCAUUAAUUUGUGCAUGGUAUGGAUGGGCCAAGAGUUCCCUCUCUUGAUGAUAGACGUGGAUAUAGUUCCAACAGUAGAAGCACCUUGGCCCCAACAGCACCCACGGCCCCCUCUCACUCCCUCAGACAUGAACACAGUUUAUCUCAGCAACACAACUAGGAAAGAAUGGAGAUUUUCCUUUGGUGUCGCCGAAAACCAGAUCAUGAAAAAACUGACUGAUCAUCAGAGAAGAGUGUUCUUAGGCUGUAAAUUGCUUUUGUCAUCACUAACGGUAUCAUGGUGGAUGCCAAAGGAGACCAAGAAACAGUUCACUUUCUGGGAUAAACGAGUGUUUCGACUUUCAGUUCCUGCAGGCUUUGCCUUGAAGAAUGUGUUUUUCGAAGAACUUCAGGAUGUGCAAAAUGCAAAUCUCUGGACAGAUGACCAUCUUUUGGAUAGAAUGAAGUCUGUCUUCAGCCGCAUGUGUGAAGAUCCGAGUGAUCCUGAAUGCCAAAUGCCACGCAAGGUGAUGGCCUAUUUUGGAGGCAACACCCAGCUCCCGUCAUUUGCACUCGGAGCCCCAGAUAUUCUUGUGUUCCUAAGGUCACUGGAUGCCUUACCACUCCAGCCCAGUUCUAAAGCGUGAUUGUGUUCAGAGAAAGUUGGUUUGAACGGUUUCCUUUUUAUUAGUAUUCGGUAUUUUUGUCUAAAGACUCUUUUUAUCAGAAGUUAUAAAUUUCUAUUAGAGGAGUACUAGAACUAUUCAUUUCAAAUGAUUGUUUAAGACUAGUUUAUUGAAAUGAAUGAUUAUAAUAUACAGGCAUGACACCAUCAGCAGCUUGAAACUCUAAUAGGAAAACAGGUAUAUAUUCAUUACUGUUUUUUCGUCUCUAUAUCAUACACAUUAUAAGUAUUUUUUUUUUUUUUUAAUGGCUAACAUGUCAGAUACAAGAAAGCAUAUUAUACUAUACGACGUUAUUUCAGAUAUUUAAGUCUUUUCAAAAAGCACAUGAAUAUGGUAAGUUAUGGCAAACAUUUGUGAAAAUAAUUAAUGAUAAUUAAUCUGACACAUUAUGAUAUGCUGAUCCGACAUAUAUAUAGCAAAGGAGAAAUACUGGACCCUCUGACCUUUCGCAUCGUUUGUUGGGGAGACUUUUUUCCUUGUUAUUGUUUUUGCCACCAUGAGCAAUGUGCAUUUUUAGUCAUACAAAGGCCUAGUUUUAUCAGUGUCACAAAUUAGGUAUCGUAAAAAUCCUGUAACAGAGGCUUGUGGAUUUAGCUCCCACGUCUGUUUUUUUUUUUUUUUCUCUCUUUCUUUUGAUAGCUUGCAAAUCUGUUUGAUCAUAGAAUUCUGCAGGCUUUUGGGCUGAAUACAAAGAUAUUUGUGAUUUAUUGUGAACUGCUCAUUGUGGCAGAUGAUAAAAGGCCUAUUGUCGGAACAGUAAAAUUUUAUGCCUUGAACAGUGGAGUUUCCUAAAUCAUAUCUUUUUACUAAUAUUUUUUAAUACCAGCCAUUCAUAAUGAUUGCAUUAUACUAAUACCAUUGUUACUGCUCACAGCUAAUUCAUUGUGAUUGAGAAAGUAUCCAUCUAUUUGAACCGAUGAUUCACCGAUGAUUCAUGGAAAUGACAGAUUGGGAUUUUUCUUCCACAAUGGUUUGUCUUUUUGAUUUUCACAACACAUCAUGCUGCUUGGGAUUUGCGACGUUCUAGCUUCGCCCGGGCCUUCCAAAUAUGGCCCGGCAAACGCACCAUCAAUUCUGAGCAUCGGUAAUCAGAACUGUGUUUAUCUGAAGUUGUGAAUAUGCAUGAAGGGGAUGGAGAUCAUUCUUACAAUGUAAGCCUUAUGGUAAUUUUUAUUUAUUUCAUUUUAUUCAGAAACUUGUUUUACUUUUACAAGGAAACCAAUUUAAAUAUGGUGUUGAUUACUGGUUAUUAUUCUGUGUAAAGGGAUUAUAUAACAUAUUUACCAUGAUGUAUAAAUUAAUUUGUAUACUGCGAUAUUGGGUUUAUAGUAAAUACCUUAUUAACAAGAUUAUAAAACACAGAUUAAGGAUGUAUAUUUACAGUUUUUUUUUUUUGUUCGUGGCAUACUGUAGGUGCUUUUAAUUCAUUGUAUUUACAUUCAUUUCUUGUUUCUAGUCUUUGUUUUUACGUAUAUUCAUGGAUUUGCUGACGCCAGGCGCCACGAUACUUUGCCUCACGUGCCCCCGAGGUUAAUCGGAGCGGCGCCAAGCUUAAGCAAGCCCCGUGACACCUGGGCCGUUUGAUACGCUCGCUGGGACGUGGAUAUUUACACUGAUUGUUUGUUUAUAAUAUUUGUAAAUAGGUAUAUGGUGUUGGUUAUAACCUCUUAUUAUACCCACAUUUUAAUGAAAGCGAGAACAUAAUUAGAUAAUGUGAUUAAUCCAAUCACGAAAUGCACCAUUUUAAACAAAAGAUCCUUUACAUUAUGUAUAACAGUCUUUGCAGGUCCUAGCCAUAUACAUGAAUAUUUAAUGUAUAGACUGAAAAAAGACAUCGAUAUUCACAUAAAUAUAUAAAAAAGUUGGGGUAAAUUUUCGAUUUUUAGGAUGCUUGGUAAAACAGCUACGAUACAUAAGCAUUUUCUUAAUGAUUGGUAAAAUAUCUGUGAUAUGAAACCAUUUUUUUUAUUUUGACUUUGGCACGCUGUCGUUGCCUAACUCUACCGAUAUCACCUUAGGGAAUACGUUUCGGGGUCAGGGAUUGGAAACAACAGAGACCAGACAAUUCACACGAAAAGGAAAUGAAUCUCAGACCAUCAAGACUACUCACACACAACAUCAUAUAUAUAUUAAAGCUGACAUUCUUUUAAACAAUUGAUAUCACCGUCUAUUCUAUCAAUAAGUUUGUGUGUGUACAUGAGAAUCAUAAUGACAGCGUGUUUUCUGCAGUAAGUUGGACUUCCAAGAUAAAAAACUAUUCAGAUGGAUGACGUGUUAUCUUAUCUGUAUUAUAUUGUGAACUUCAUUUAUUUAAUUUGUACCUGUAAAUGACCUGCUUUAUUUUCAUCUGUUUUUACAGAUAUAUAGGUAAUUGCUCAUAAAACAUUCUGAGCUUUGGUGAUUUAUAAAUAAAAUGUAUUAAAGGUGAUUAUAUUCUUCA
rnacentral:misc_RNA from 1 species